UACCAAAAUAAAAAUUUAUUUUAAAAAAAAAAGGAAUGGGACCUCUAGCAACCCUGGCCCCAGUGCCUCCAUCAAACGGCUGUGUCCCCUGCUCUGCCCCCGACUCCCCCAAACCAGGCUGUGCCCUCCAGUCCUGGGGAAAGCACAGCCCACUGUGCGGGCCCUCUGGAGGUGACAUAGCUGCCUCCUCACCCUCUUCUCAGCUGCAGCUGCAGCCAGGCAAGACCCCAAGUCCAGGGAGCCCCGAAAGGCCCCGCCACUGGGCUGACACUCCAGGCACAGCACAACCCAAAGCCCAGGUCACAGAGGCCUAGAAUGUUCUGUGCCUGGAGUUCUGGGAAGGAGGCUGGCCCAGAGGAGGAGCUCCCCUCACCCCCACCUCCCAGGACAGCAGGUGGUACCUCAGUGACCUGGUGACAACAAGCUGUGUAAUCCUGAGCAAGUUACCUAACCUUUCUGGACCUCAGUUGCUGCACCUGGUAAAUGGGAACUGCAACAGACCCAACACUGCACCAGCAUCAUGAAGCUGAAAGGAAAUAACACAUGCUCAGCAUAGUCUGUCCGAGACAGCCCUGCUGCAUCUGCUGCCUUCAUGGAUGGGUACAGCGUUAAGAAAGUGUGGAAGAAACUGAGGCCAAGGUGCCAG